rnacentral:rRNA from 1 species
UGAAUACGAGACGCUACGGCGUCGAAGCAGUCUAUGUCAUACUUCCAAGAAAAGCUCGCAAUGUCAUAAACAAAUAAUGCCUGUACCAUAACCGACACAGGUGGGUAGGUAGAGUAUACUAAGGGGCGCGAGAUAACUCUCUCUAAGGAACUCGGCAAAAUGACUCCGUAACUUCGGGAGAAGGAGUGCCUUAUUUAUAAGGUUGCAAUAACAAGAUCCAAGCAACUGUUUAUCAAAAACACAGGUCUCCGCUAAGUCGUAAGACGAUGUAUGGGGGCUGACGCCUGCCCAGUGCCAGAAGGUUAAAGAAGUUGAUUAGCAUUCGCGAAGCUGAUAACUGAAGCCCUGGUGAACGGCGGCCGUAACAAUAACGGUCCUACGGUAGCGAAAUUCCUUGUCGGGUAAGUUCCGACCCGCACGAAAGGCGUAAUGAUUUGGAUACUGUCUCGGAGAGGGGCUCGGUGAAAUAGACUUGUCUGUGAAGAUGCGGACUACCUGCACCUGGACAGAAAGACCCUAUGAAGCUUUACUGUAACUUGAAAUUGAAAUUGGACUUUAUUUGCGCAGCAUAGGUGGGAGGCGUUGAGAGUAUUCUUGCGGGAAUAUUGGAGCCAUCAGUGAGAUACCACUCUUGUAAUGUUAGAUUUCUAACUUUGGAUCAUUAUCUGGUCAAAGAACAGUUUCAGGCGGGCAGUUUGACUGGGGCGGUCGCCUCCCAAAUGGUAACGGAGGCGUACAAAGGUUUCCUCUGAACGGGUAGAAAUCGUAUCUAGAGUGUAAAGGCAUAAGGAAGCUUGACUGUGAGACCUACAAGUCGAGCAGGGACGAAAGUCGGUCUUAGUGAUCUGACGGUGCUGAGUGGAAAGGCCGUCACUCAACGGAUAAAAGUUACUCUAGGAUAACAGGCUGAUCUCCCCCAAGAGUUCACAUCGACGGGGAGGUUUGGCACCUCGAUGUCGGCUCAUCGCAUCCUGGGGCGGUAGUACGUCCCAAGGGUUGGGCUGUUCGCCCAUGAAAGCGGUACGCGAGCUGGGUUCAGAACGUCGUGAGACAGUUCGGUCCAUAUCCGGUGUAGGCGUUAGAAUAUUGAGAGGAGCCUUCUUUAGUACGAGAGGACCGAGAAGGACAUACCUCUGGUGUACCAGUUAUCGUGCCAACGGUAAACGCUGGGUAGCUAUGUAUGGAGAGGAUAACCGCUGAAAGCAUCUAAGUGGGAAGCCCACCUCAAGAUAAGUAUUCUCAUC